GAAAUUCAUUUUCUUCGAGAGAGUUCUCAAAAUGAAGUCUCUCUCUUUUCUCUCCAUCUACGAUUCUCCAUGUUUUCAAGGUAUCAGAGUAUGGUUCUUCUUCUCGGAUGUCUCCUCUAUGUUCUUAGUCCUUCCGGUCCAGCAUUACUGAGUUAUCAGCGGUGAUUCUGGAUUUUUGUUUAGCGAUUUUUUGGUGGAAUCGGAGAUGUUUCCAGACUUCUCAUAUGGAUUGUUGUUGCUUUCUCAAGCGCGCUGUUUAGGGUAAACUUCCGACACUGUUCGCGGUUGAUUCCGAUGGACUCAGAAGCGCUGGAUUUGCACUGACUAAAGCUAGGGUUUUCAUUGAACUUUUGAAGGCAGUUCUUCUCCGGUAGCGUAGAAGUCGGGUAACCCUAUUCUCACUUUCGUUAAGAGCUUGCAUGUGUUUUUGCUGGAAAAUCUAGUGUAUCGAGUAUUUCACAGAUAUUGAAUCAAUUUCUCUUCAUCACUGUUGUUCUGUUUCUGA
rnacentral:lncRNA from 1 species